rnacentral:rRNA from 1 species
UACAGAGGGUGCAAGCGUUGUUCGGAAUUAUUGGGCGUAAAGGGUGCGUAGGUGGCGCCGUAAGUGGGGUGUGAAAUUUCGGAGCUUAACUCCGAAACUGCAUUCCAUACUGCGGUGCUUGAGGACUGGAGAGGAGACUGGAAUUUACGGUGUAGCAGUGAAAUGCGUAGAUAUCGUAAGGAAGACCAGUGGCGAAGGCGGGUCUCUGGACAGUUCCUGACGCUGAGGCACGAAGGCCAGGGGAGCAAACGGG